rnacentral:rRNA from 1 species
GUGUCAGCAGCCGCGGUAAUACGGAGGAUCCAAGCGUUAUCCGGAAUCAUUGGGUUUAAAGGGUCCGUAGGCGGCCUUAUAAGUCAGUGGUGAAAUCUCCUAGCUCAACUAGGAAACUGCCAUUGAUACUGUAGGGCUUGAAUUAUUAUGAAGUAACUAGAAUAUGUAGUGUAGCGGUGAAAUGCUUAGAUAUUACAUGGAAUACCAAUUGCGAAGGCAGGUUACUAAUAAUUGAUUGACGCUGAUGGACGAAAGCGUGGGUAGCGAACAGGAUUAGAUACCCUUGUAGUCC